AUUGAACGCUGGCGGCAGGCCUAACACAUGCAAGUCGAACGAGUGGCGGACGGGUGAGUAAUGUCAGGGAAACUGCCUGCUGGAGGGGGAUAACUACUGGAAACGGUAGCAAAUACCGCAUACUAUCGGUGGUGCACAGAUGGGUAUAGCUAGUAGGUGGGGUAAAGGCUCACCUAGGCGACGAUCCCUAGCUGGUCAGAGAGGAUGACCGGCCACACUGGAACUUAGACACGGUCCAGACUCCUACGGGAUGCAGCAGUGGGGAAUAUUGAACAAUGGGCGCAAGCCUGAUGCAGCCAUGCCUCGUGUAUGAAGAAGGCCUUCGGGUUGUAAAGUACUUUCAGCGGGGAGGCGUUACCCACAGAAGAAGCACCGGCUAACUCCGUGCCAGCAACCGCGGUAAUAC
rnacentral:rRNA from 1 species